ensembl:lncRNA
UGUUAUAUAAAACCAUGCUUGCCAUGACUUUAUUAGUUAAAUCUAAUAAGCAUUUUCUCUAAUUCUCUACAGAUCUCUCAGGCUGGGUGUGGGACACACGCUGUCUUAUUCAUGUGUCCCGUGCUGUGCUGACUGAGCCUCAGGUUUUGGCUUUGCUGGAAGAUCUAUGCUACUGUGGUACAGAGGGUUACAUCUACCAUCAGAUCCUUGCUAAGGUUUUUCAGAAGUCCAGUUUAGAGCUUUGUAGCUGGGCAAGAAAAAUAGAAGAAAUUCCUUGGCAUCUCAAGCAAACUGGUUCAUUUAAGGAGUUGCAUGAUUUCCUCAGUGAUCCGGCUCAAUAAUGGAAUAAUUCCUACAUUUUUUCCUACAUUAAUUCCUACAGUUUUUGUCAAGCAGCCUGAAACAAUACCCACAGAUGACAACUGACUUUAUACAUUAUUGGACACUACUAAGGGAGAGAGGCUAUUUUUAUCAUCAGGAGCAAAUAACAUUUAAAAAUUACACACACACACACACACACACACACGACCAUUAGGGAAGUCGUGGCCUAAUGGUUAGAGAGUUUGACUCCUAACCCUAAGGUUGUGGGUUUGAGUCUUGGGCUGGCAAUAUCAUGAUGAUCCAAAAUACGGAAAAGGCAGUAAAAUGUUUUUACUAUUUAAAAUGACUACUUUUUAUUUGAAUAUAUUUUAAAAUGUAAUUUAUUCC